UACUAGUGUUAUGCCUUCACCCACUGCCUUCAUUUCGCCGCAGAAGAACCGCUCCUUGAUGACAAAAGUCGGCGAAUUUGACGCGGGCUACGCCUUCGUGUUGUUUGUAGAGUGUGGUGUGUGGUGAGGAUACUGCUUCUUAUAGGUGUUAUUCUGCGAAAAAAGACAUGGAUUCAUCUAAAAGCUUCAGGGAUGAAAAUGGAUCGGAUGGGGGUGAAGGAAAGAAGACUGACAACAAAGAGGGAAUCUGGUCGUCGAUUCUGACGGAGGUGGUUUCGGCCGAAUCAACUAAACUGCCCGCCGAUAAGCAGGUCGUCGUGCUGGGAAACAACCAGACCGGCAAGACCACGCUGGUGGCCAAACUUCAGGGCAAUGAGGACCCCAAGAAGGGCUCCGGCCUGGAGUACGCCCACAUCCUUGUCAGAGACGAGUACAGAGACGCGACCACUCGUCUCUCUGUGUGGAUGUUGGACGGGGACCCUGCACACGCACACCUGCUGCAGUACGCCCUUGGACCCGAGGCGGUCGGCAACACGGCCCUCAUGCUGACCGUGGCCAUGACGACGCCCUGGGACAUCCUGGACCAGCUGCACGCCUGGGCAGGGGUCAUCCAGGAUCACCUGGAUCAGUUGAACCUGAGUGCCGACCUCGUCAGGGAGAGACAACAUAAAGUCCAGCGGCGCUGGCAGGAGUACAUCGAGCCGGGCGAUGAACUGGAGGCGGCCUCUCCGGCCAAGCGGCUCUCCCAGCACCUGGGAGAGGAGGACGGAGAGGUUCUACUGCCGCUCGGCGAGAACACGCUGACGCGAAACCUCGGCAUGGAUGUCAUAGUGGUAGUGACCAAGACUGACUACAUGGCGACCCUAGAAACCGACCACGACUACAAGGACGAGCACUUCGACUUUAUCCAGCAGUACGUGCGCAAGUUUUGUCUACAGUACGGCGCGGCGCUGUUCUACACCUCCGUCAAAGAGGACAAGAAUUGCGACCUGCUCUACAAGUACCUGACACAUAGGAUAUAUGGAUUUCCGUUCCGGACACCGGCGCUCGUCGUGGAAAAGGACGCCGUGUUCAUACCUGCCGGCUGGGACAAUGACAAGAAGAUCUCGAUUCUGUAUGAGAACAUGCAGAGCAUACACCCGGAAGCCUACUAUACGGAUGUCAUCUCACGGCCCGCCAUCAAAAAGACUCUGGUACGAGACACCGAGCUGCAGGCGGAGGAGGAGCAGACGUUCCUGGCGCGGCAGCAGCAGCAGCUCCUGAGCAGCGGCGGCGCCUCGCCCGGCCCGGCCGGCGCGCCGCGGCCCGACACGCCCUCGCGGCUCUCCACCAGCGGCGUGCAAAAGACGCCCGAGCGGCGCGGGACCGCCUCGCCCAGUAUCGCCAAUAACAGCUCCGUCGGGAAAAAGGUACGGCUGAUGGAGACUGCGGGCUUUCGGAGAUCUGUCUUCAAAUAUCGUGGGAUGGUGGUCUGGUGUUAACUGUUGGCUUUGGUUGUGGGGAUUGGGGAUGUAUAUCGUCAACAUGUUGAGACUGGUUGCGUGUGUCCAAAUUAGUUAGUCAGCACUAGCUGUCAGAAUAGCCGCUGCUUAUACCAAAUCUUGUUUAGCCACAGUUGAAUUAAUUUUUUACUGCCGCGCUAUCCAUGCAGCAGCAAAACGAACGCUUUCCAUUGGGCAUUUGCACUUUUCACGGCCUGCCCUGUCCUGUCCUGCGAACUGUGCCACGCACUGCGUCGAUCGAGCCGUUCCUCCCGUCCUCUGCCCGUCUGUCCGGCCCUCUCCCCACUCCGGUCCUGUAGGUGGUUCUCUGCUGUGCUGGACCGGAUAGCCGCGAUAGCGACACAAGUUACUGAUCCCGUGCCCUCGCCGAUCACUGCUCCUUGUCUAUUUUCCUUGCCAGCUGGACCCGACCAAGCCCGGCGCGGGCGUCACCUCAGAGGGGGUGCUGGCCAACUUCUUCAACUCGCUGUUGAACAAAAAGGCAGGAUCUCCGGGCGGCCUGAACAAAUCCGGCACUGACAGCGCGGAUACCUCUCUGGUACGAUCAGACGCGGCGGCCGAGCUCGACCGGCUGACGCGCACCAAGAAGACAAGCACGCCUCUCAAGUCGGCCGACACGUCCGGCGCGCCAGACACAGACUGCUAGCGCAUGUAUGUACAUUCCCCCAAUUCUGAGCGAGAGAGGAUGUGAGUGGACGCCGCGAGCCCCAGAGGCGCGCGCGAGAGAGUGUGAUACCUGGCCGGCGCCGGCCGGCCGGGCGGUGGUUCGCGUCUCGGCCGCCAGAGGCGCUGCUGUCGCGCGAUGCCGGCGACACCGGCACUGGACGCGAUGGAGGAGCGUGAACUAGUCGAUAGCCGUUGCAGCUUUAUUCGUGUUAUGUGCAAACGUUGUCGUCACUCUCUUUUGGGUCUCACAAAGGUACAGGUUUGGCUAACCGAUUUUUACGAGGCGGCGCGCGGGCGACGUUGUUCUUCCUUUUUAGCGGCGCCCCGCGUCGUGCCGCGCUGUUUUAGUGUGGGCAGGUCUACUCCGUACGUAUGCUAUCCGCCCCCAGGCUCCGUUAAACACGCGCUGAUUUCGUUUGUUAGUCGUGUGGUGAGAUGUGCGCCCUCUGGGAUGAACCGGAACAAACUAGAUUUGUUUUCAAUUAGCAUGGCCGGGCCAUUUUGGUAUUGGAGCGGUGGGACGGUCUCCUUGUUUUGGAGGAGUGGGAGUCGUUCCCUGUGUUGGCUGAACGGGGAGUACGUUCCUCGUUCGGGAGAGUGGGAGCCACUGAGCGUUUCUGGUUCAUCGGUGAUCGGGUCGGGUGGCGACCGGUGGCCUGCGGUCGGUCAGUCGCGCCCGCGGCGGCCGCUGCGUGGAGCCGCGGAGCGCGGUGGUCGGGCUGUCUGGCCCCGCCGCCGGCCGGAGAGCUGGUCUGUACGUCUGGCCGGCCCGCUGUGGCACCAUUCCUGCGUCCCGGCGCGUGUGUGGCGCGCCGCUGAUUCUCCUGUGCUGCCCCCGGACGGCGCCGCUGCCGUCCUCACUGAAUGGUGACGACGUGCAGCGCCGCCGGGCCGGUCUCUCGCGAACCAGCAGUUGGACGUGUGGCCGUGCGGCGGCGCCACCGUCGCCGCAGCAGCGCCCGCGCAGCCUGCGGGCGGCGCGGCGCGAUCUGUUUGUGCUGUGGUUUUGUUGAAAUGAGCGGGCGUCGCUCGGACCCGCACGGGGCCGGCGCCGUUCCACUCUAGUAUACGGCUUGACUUGUACUUGAAAAAAUAAACUAAUUUAUUAUA